rnacentral:tRNA from 1 species
UGCCUCCGUGGCGGAAUUGGUUAACGCGCUCGCCUUUUAAGCGAUGAGAUUCCGGGUUCAAGUCCCGGCGGAGGCAU